UGGGGAAUAUUGCACAAUGGGCGCAAGCCUGAUGCAGCCAUGCCGCGUGUAUGAAGAAGGCCUUAGGGUUGUAAAGUACUUUCAGCGGGGAGGAAGGUGAUAAGGUUAAUACCCUUAUCAAUUGACGUUACCCGCAGAAGAAGCACCGGCUAACUCCGUGCCAGCAGCCGCGGUAAUACGGAGGGUGCAAGCGUUAAUCGGAAUUACUGGGCGUAAAGCGCACGCAGGCGGUCAAUUAAGUCAGAUGUGAAAGCCCCGAGCUUAACUUGGGAAUUGCAUCUGAAACUGGUUGGCUAGAGUCUUGUAGAGGGGGGUAGAAUUCCACGUGUAGCGGUGAAAUGCGUAGAGAUGUGGAGGAAUACCGGUGGCGAAGGCGGCCCCCUGGACAAAGACUGACGCUCAGGUGCGAAAGCGUGGGGAGCAAACA
rnacentral:rRNA from 1 species